GGCGGCGUGCCUAAUACAUGCAAGUCGAACGAGUUCUCGUUGAUGAUCGGUGCUUGCACCGAGAUUCAACAUGGAACGAGUGGCGGACGGGUGAGUAACACGUGGGUAACCUGCCCUUAAGUGGGGGAUAACAUUUGGAAACAGAUGCUAAUACCGCAUAGAUCCAAGAACCGCAUGGUUCUUGGCUGAAAGAUGGCGUAAGCUAUCGCUUUUGGAUGGACCCGCGGCGUAUUAGCUAGUUGGUGAGGUAACGGCUCACCAAGGCGAUGAUACGUAGCCGAACUGAGAGGUUGAUCGGCCACAUUGGGACUGAGACACGGCCCAAACUCCUACGGGAGGCAGCAGUAGGGAAUCUUCCACAAUGGACGCAAGUCUGAUGGAGCAACGCCGCGUGAGUGAAGAAGGCUUUCGGGUCGUAAAACUCUGUUGUUGGAGAAGAAUGGUCGGCAGAGUAACUGUUGUCGGCGUGACGGUAUCCAACCAGAAAGCCACGGCUAACUACGUGCCAGCAGCCGCGGUAAUACGUAGGUGGCAAGCGUUAUCCGGAUUUAUUGGGCGUAAAGCGAGCGCAGGCGGUUUUUUAAGUCUGAUGUGAAAGCCCUCGGCUUAACCGAGGAAGUGCAUCGGAAACUGGGAAACUUGAGUGCAGAAGAGGACAGUGGAACUCCAUGUGUAGCGGUGAAAUGCGUAGAUAUAUGGAAGAACACCAGUGGCGAAGGCGGCUGUCUGGUCUGUAACUGACGCUGAGGCUCGAAAGCAUGGGUAGCGAACAGGAUUAGAUACCCUGGUAGUCCAUGCCGUAAACGAUGAAUGCUAGGUGUUGGAGGGUUUCCGCCCUUCAGUGCCGCAGCUAACGCAUUAAGCAUUCCGCCUGGGGAGUACGACCGCAAGGUUGAAACUCAAAGGAAUUGACGGGGGCCCGCACAAGCGGUGGAGCACGUGGUUUAAUUCGAAGCAACGCGAAGAACCUUACCAGGUCUUGACAUCUUUUGAUCACCUGAGAGAUCAGGUUUCCCCUUCGGGGGCAAAAUGACAGGUGGUGCAUGGUUGUCGUCAGCUCGUGUCGUGAGAUGUUGGGUUAAGUCCCGCAACGAGCGCAACCCUUAUGACUAGUUGCCAGCAUUUAGUUGGGCACUCUAGUAAGACUGCCGGUGACAAACCGGAGGAAGGUGGGGAUGACGUCAAAUCAUCAUGCCCCUUAUGACCUGGGCUACACACGUGCUACAAUGGAUGGUACAACGAGUUGCGAGACCGCGAGGUCAAGCUAAUCUCUUAAAGCCAUUCUCAGUUCGGACUGUAGGCUGCAACUCGCCUACACGAAGUCGGAAUCGCUAGUAAUCGCGGAUCAGCACGCCGCGGUGAAUACGUUCCCGGGCCUUGUACACACCGCCCGUCACACCAUGAGAGUUUGUAACACCCGAAGCCGGUGGCGUAACCCUUUUAGGGAGCGAGCCGUCUAAGGUGGGACAAAUGAUUAGGGUG
rnacentral:rRNA from 1 species